GACGAACGCUGGCGGCGUGCUUAACACAUGCAAGUCGAACGGAAAGGCCCUGCUUGCAGGGUACUCGAGUGGCGAAAGGGGGAGUAACACGUGGGUGUUCUGCCCUGCACUCCGGGAGAUGCCUGGGAAACAGGGGCUAAUAUCGGAGAGGAGCCAUCUUUAGGGUGAGGGUUGGAAAGUUUUUUGGGUGUGGGUUGGGUGCGCGGCCUAUCAGCUUGUUGGUGGGGUAAGGGCUUACUAAGGCUGGGAUGGGCAGCCGGCCGGGGAGGGGGACCGGCCACAUGGGGCCUGGGUUCGGGCCCGGCUCCUUCCGGGGGCAAGAGUGGGGAAUUAUGCCCCAUGGGCGCGAGCCUGAUGCAGCGACGCCGCGUGGCGGAUGACGGCCUUCGGGUUGUAAACUCCUUUCGCUCGGGACGAAGCUUUUUGUGACGGUACCUAGUUAAGAAGCACCGGCUAACUACGUG
rnacentral:rRNA from 1 species